AAGCGCUUGUGACCAGACUUGCGCCCGGCUGAUCAUCCGGUGUUCUCACCGGUGCACUCUGCCGGGCUCAGGCCAGCAUCGGUUCUCGCGGGGGGAUAAAGGUCCUGGGAACGUAGCUCCUCCGGGAGUGUUAUAGCCCAGGGCGUCAUGC
rnacentral:rRNA from 1 species